rnacentral:piRNA from 1 species
UGACAAAACAAAUCCUCCUUCUGCUAGUCA